rnacentral:misc_RNA from 1 species
GAUGAAGAACGCAGCGAAAUGCGAUAAGUAAUGUGAAUUGCAGAAUUCAGUGAAUCAUCGAAUCUUUGAACGCACAUUGCGCCCCCUGGUAUUCCGGGGGGCAUGCCUGUUCGAGCGUCAUUUCACCACUCAAGCCUCGCUUGGUAUUGGGCAACGCGGUCCGCCGCGUGCCUCAAAUCGACCGGCUGGGUCUUCUGUCCCCUAAGCGUUGUGGAAACUAUUCGCUAAAGGGUGUUCGGGAGGCUACGCCGUAAAACAACCCCAUUCCUAAGGUUGACCUCGGAUCAGGUAGGGAUACCCGCUGAACUUAAGCAUAUCAAUAAGCGGAGGA